CCUACGGGGGGCAGCAGUGAGGAAUAUUGGUCAAUGGACGAGAGUCUGAACCAGCCAAGUCGCGUGAAGGAUGACUGCCCUACGGGUUGUAAACUUCUUUUAUCAAGGAAUAAAGUGAGGCACGUGUGCCUUGUUGUAUGUAAUUUAUGAAUAAAGAUCGGCUAACUCCGUGCAAGCAGCCGCGGUCAUACGGAGGUUCAGAGCAUUAUCCGGAGUGUCUGGGUGUAAAAAGUUGCGUAGGUGGCAUAAUAAGUAGCUAGUGAAAUCUGUUGGCUCAACCAUUCAGAUGAUUUGCUAAACUGUUAAUCUCGAGAGCGUUAGGGGUAUGUGGAAUUUCUGGUGUAGGAGUGAAAUCCGUAGAUAUUAGAAAGAACACCAAUAGCGUAGGCAGGUUACUGGGACGGUUCUGACACUAAGGCACGAAAGCGUAGGGAGCAAACGGGAUUAGAUACCCCUGUAGUC
rnacentral:rRNA from 1 species